AUUGAACGCUGGCGGCAUGCUUUACACAUGCAAGUCGAACGGUAGAGGGGGCAACCCCUUGAGAGUGGCGAACGGGUGAGUAAUGCAUCGGAACGUGCCCAGUCGUGGGGGAUAACGCAGCGAAAGCUGUGCUAAUACCGCAUACGAUCUCUGGAUGAAAGCGGGGGACCGAAAGGCCUCGCGCGAUUGGAGCGGCCGAUGUCAGAUUAGGUAGUUGGUGGGGUAAAGGCCUACCAAGCCAACGAUCUGUAGCUGGUCUGAGAGGACGACCAGCCACACUGGGACUGAGACACGGCCCAGACUCCUACGGGAGGCAGCAGUGGGGAAUUUUGGACAAUGGGCGCAAGCCUGAUCCAGCAAUGCCGCGCGCAGGAAGAAGGCCUUCGGGUUGUAAACUGCUUUUGUACGGAACGAAACGGUCUGGGUUAAUACCCUGGGCUAAUGACGGUACCGUAAGAAUAAGCACCGGCUAACUACGUGCCAGCAGCCGCCGUAAAAC
rnacentral:rRNA from 1 species